rnacentral:sRNA from 1 species
CUUUUCACUUCUUAUGUCCUCAGCAUCUAAGCUCACUGGCGUCUCCAUUGCA